rnacentral:misc_RNA from 1 species
ACAUGUAUAGUCAGAACUGCAAAUGGGUAGAGUCUUGAUGCUUUUGUUAUAGGGAUCAAAAAAGGAUAGAGUAACACAAUGUACCUCCACACGCUUCACUAACAAUUCUGAAUCAUUGUAAACUCCAAUUGGAGUACCAAGUCCUGAAGAAUUCAAGUCCAUCGCAUGGAGUUUAGUCCAGUACUUACAAUCACCAUCAGUAGGAUAAUCUUUAUCCAACGUCCACAACUCAAUUCGAUUGAUGGGUCUUCCAUAUCCAGGAUAAACAGGCAUAGCAGGAUACAAUGCCAAAGCAAGUGAUUCAUUGAAUCUUACAAAUUUAGCACAAAUUCCACUGGGAAUAAAAUCUAAUAAUUGUACUCUCCUGAAUUCUUCAUUACCCAUGUUGAAUGAGACGAUGAACUUGUGAUUUGCCAACUUCCCAACCCCAUUAGCCACCCAAUGCAUAGACUCAUCCACAGUCACAGCCUGCUGGCCUUCAGGAAUCACACAAAAACCAAUUCUUUCCUCAAUCAUUCUUCCAUCCAACACCCUCCACGAACUCGUACUCCACAAGUACACUUCAGCCCUCACAACAGGCGAUUCAUCUUCUUUACACUGAAAAUUCACAAUCCUUACCAAUUUAAAAUCACUACUUUGGCGAUUAUACCCAAAUCCAGUAGCGACCAUCCAA